rnacentral:snRNA from 1 species
GUAUAAAUCUUUCGCCUUUUACUAAAGAUUUCCG